AUUGAACGCUGGCGGCAGGCCUAACACAUGCAAGUCGAGCGGGGUUUUCGGACCUAGCGGCGGACGGGUGAGUAAUGCGUAGGAAGCUGCCCGAUAGAGGGGGAUACCAGUUGGAAACGACUGUUAAUACCGCAUAAUGUCUACGGACCAAAGUGUGGGACCUUCGGGCCACAUGCUAUCGGAUGCGCCUACGUGGGAUUAGCUAGUUGGUGAGGUAAUGGCUCACCAAGGCGACGAUCUCUAGCUGGUUUGAGAGGAUGAUCAGCCACACUGGAACUGAGACACGGUCCAGACUCCUACGGGAGGCAGCAGUAGGGAAUAUUGGACAAUGGGCGCAAGCCUGAUCCAGCCAUGCCGCGUGUGUGAAGAAGGCCUUCGGGUUGUAAAGCACUUUCAGCGAGGAGGAAGGGUGGUGUGUUAAUAGCACAUCAUUUUGACGUUACUCGCAGAAGGAGCACCGGCUAACUCUGUGCCAGCAGCCGCCGUAA
rnacentral:rRNA from 1 species